UACAGGGGGGGCAAGCGUUGUUCGGAUUCAUUGGGCGUAAAGGGUGCGUAGGUGGCGCCGUAAGUCAGGUGUGAAAUUUCGGAGCUUAACUCCGAAACUGCAUUUGAUACUGCGGUGCUUGAGGACUGGAGAGGAGACUGGAAUUUACGGUGUAGCAGUGAAAUGCGUAGAUAUCGUAAGGAAGACCAGUGGCGAAGGCGGGUCUCUGGACAGUUCCUGACACUGAGGCACGAAGGCCAGGGGAGCAAACGGG
rnacentral:rRNA from 1 species